ensembl:lncRNA GNRHR2 gonadotropin releasing hormone receptor 2 (pseudogene)
GAUCUCCACGUCUUGGAGGCCGCCGGCAUAGGUGUGCGCCUGGCAGAACCUCACAAAUACACAUGCACGCAGGCCCCGACUGAAUCCAGGGCUGUAGGGGCUAAAGAGGUCUAGGUCAGUAGAGGCCUGAAGCCCAGGCUGGUCUGUCCAAGGAAAAAGGAGCGUGAUUGGUACCAGAUCUUCGUUCCCUGCAGAACCUUGACAGUUGAACAAGUGACCUCCUCCAGAACAGAUGGAGAGUCUCCAGAAGCAGAGGCUUUAGUGAACGAAAUUCGCAAUAAUCAGCUCCAGAUCCUGAAAAGGAGGGCGAAGAAUCAGUGGCCAAAGCUAACCGCUUCAUACCCACACUUCAUCCUCCUCAGUUUCUCUCCAGGCCACCAUGUCUGCAGGCAACGGCACCCCUUGGGGUCAGCAGCGGGGGAGGAGGUCUGGGCUGGAUCAGGAGUGGAGGUGGAGGGCUCAGAGCUGCCCACCUUCUCGGCAGCAGCCAAGGUCCGAGUGGGAGUGACCAUUGUGCUGUUUGUUUCUUCGGCUGGAGGGAACCUGGCAGUCCUGUGGUCAGUGACACGGCGGGAACCCAGCCAGCUCCGCCCCUCUCCGGUCAGGAGACUCUUCAUCCAUUUAGCAGCCGCCGACUUACUAGUCACUUUUGUGGUUAUGCCCCUAGAUGCCACCUGGAAUAUCACUGUUCAAUGGCUGGCUGUGGACAUCGCAUGUCGGACACUGAUGUUCCUGAAACUAAUGGCCACGUAUUCUGCAGCUUUCCUGCCUGUGGUCAUUGGAUUGGACCGCCAGGCAGCAGUACUCAACCCGCUUGGAUCCCGUUCAGGUGUAAGGAAACUUCUGGGGGCAGCCUGGGGACUUAGUUUCCUGCUUGCCUUCCCCCAGGUGAGUGACCUAGGACUCAGGACCGGGCAGGACAGGGAUUUGGGUCCAUAGCAUGAGUUAAAGGGUGCGCUUGGGGGCCAUUAGCCAUUAAUUCUCAGGGAGUAAGCCUCUGCUUGCUUUUUUUUUUUUUUGCCGGCUCACUGCAACCUCCGCCUCCCGGGUUCAAGCAAUUCUCCUCCCUCAGCCUCCCGAGAAGCUACAGGCGCCCGCUACCAUGCCCGGCUAAUUUUUGUAUUUUUAGUAGAGGCGAGGUUUCACCAUGUUGGCCAGGUGGUCUCCAUCUCUUGACCUCAUGAUCCACCUGUCUCAGCCUCCCAAAGUGCUGAGAUUACAGGCGUGAGCCACCGCACCCUGCUACCUCUGCUCUCUCUUCUGUAAGAUUAUUUGUAUGUUAAUUUACAUCUGUUAAGAGCCUGCCUUUUCGAUUCCUCAGGGAUCUAGAACUAGAAAUACCAUUUGACCCAGCCAUCCCAUUACUGGGUAUAUACCCAAAGGACUAUAAAUCAUGCUGCUAUAAAGACACAUGCACACAUGUUUAUUGCGGCACUAUUCACAACAGCAAAGACUUGGAACCAACCCAAAUGUCUAAUAAUGAUAGACUGGAUUAAGAAAAUGUGGCACAUAUACACCAUGGAAUACUAUGCAGCCGUAAAAAAUGAUGAGUUCAUGUCCUUUGUAGGGACAUGGAUGAAAUUGGAAAUCAUCAUUCUCAGUAAACUAUUGCAAGGACAAAAAACCAAACACCGCAUGUUCUCACUCAUAGAUGGGAAUUGAACAAUGAGAACACAUGGACACAGGAAGGGGAACAUCACACUCUGGGGACUGUUGGGGGGUGGGGGGAGGGGGGAGGGAUAGCAUUAGGAGAUAUACCUAAUGCUAAAUGACGAGUUAAUGGGUGCAGCACACCAGCAUGGCACAUGUAUACAUAUGUAACUAACCUGCACAUUGUGCACAUGUACCCUAAAACUUAAAGUAUAAUAAUAAUAAUAAUAAUAAAAGAGCCUGCCUUGUAAAAA